rnacentral:rRNA from 1 species
GACAGAGGGUGCAAACGUUGUUCGGAAUUAUUGGGCGUAAAGCGCGCGUAGGCGGUUACUCAAGUCGGAUGUGAAAGCCCUCGGCUUAACUGAGGAAGUGCACCCGAAACUGAGUAGCUAGAGUACUAAAGAGGGUCGCGGAAUUCCCGGUGUAGAGGUGAAAUUCGUAGAUAUCGGGGGGAACACCGGUGGCGAAGGCGGCGACCUGGGUAGAUACUGACGCUGAGGCGCGAAAGCGUGGGGAGCAAACAGG